rnacentral:rRNA from 1 species
UACAGAGGUCUCAAGCGUUGUUCGGAUUCAUUGGGCGUAAAGGGCGCGUAGGCGGCGGGGUAAGUCGGGUGUGAAAUCUCAGAGCUCAACUCUGAAACUGCACUCGAUACUGCUCUGCUUGAGGACUGGAGAGGAGACUGGAAUUCACGGUGUAGCAGUGAAAUGCGUAGAUAUCAGGAGGAACACCGGUGGCGAAGGCGGGUCUCUGGGCCGUAACUGACGCUGAGGAGCGAAAGCGUGGGGAGCGAACAGG